rnacentral:piRNA from 1 species
GACAUGUUGGAUGGAUUCAUUAAAA